UACGGAGGGUGCAAGCGUUGUCCGGAGUUACUGGGCGUAAAGGGCAUGCAGGCGGUCGGACGCGUUUCGGGUGACAGCGGGUGGCUUAACUACCCGAGUGGUCGAAAGACGGUUUGACUUGAGGACGCGAGAGGGACACGGAAUUCCGGGUGGAGUGGUGAAAUGCGUAGAGAUCCGGAGGAACACCGAAGGCGAAGGCAGUGUCCUGGCGCGUAACUGACGCUGAGGUGCGAAAGCCAGGGGAGCGAACGGG
rnacentral:rRNA from 1 species